rnacentral:rRNA from 1 species
UACGUAGGGUGCAAGCGUUAAUCGGAAUUACUGGGCGUAAAGGGCGCGUAGGCGGCCUUCUAAGUCGGACGUGAAAGCCCCAGGCUUAACCUGGGAACUGCGUCCGAUACUGGGAGGCUUGGAUUCGGGAGAGGGAUGUGGAAUUCCAGGUGUAGCGGUGAAAUGCGCAGAUAUCAGGAGGAACACCGGUGGCGAAGGCGGGUCUCUGGCCACACCCUGACGCUGAGGCGCGAAAGCGUGGGGAGCAAACGGG